AAGUCGUAACAAGGUUUCUGUAGGUGAACCUGCAGAAGGAUCAUUAGUGAAGAUUCAAGGGCCAGCCAUACAGACGUACAAUAAGUGUGUCUCUGGCGGCUCGCAUCCACUAUACAUCCAUAAACCCCGUGUGCACUGUUCUAAGGAGUAAGAAAGAAGAAGAGAGAGUGCAUGUGCUUUGCAUAUAACUCUCUCACUCUCUUUCUCUCUCCGGUUAAUUACAAAACUCGUAUGGAUUUGUAUGAACGUGAGAUAUAUCGUUGGAUCCGUCACUGGCCAACAAAUUAUAAUCA
rnacentral:misc_RNA from 1 species